CAAUUUCAUUUGGUUUGCUUUUUUGCUGAAUCACAACGUCCGCUCCAGUUGCAGCUGUUUCGUCCCGUCCGGCACCGAGUCAACCGAUGGUCCAGCCUGCGACGCGCUCGGCUGUUGCUACGUCAAUGGCAGCCACCAGCCAGGGACUUGGAUUAAAGUCAAAAAUAUCAGGAGGCAGCCACAGAAGCACAGACUGCUUUGGUUCAGCAAUACGCUCCGGCAGGACGAUGCUCGUGGAAGAUCACGCAGUUCCGGUCCUGUGCACAAGAACAGGCUGAUUUGACCCUGUGCGAAGGUUUCAACGAGUCGCUCAGGCAUUAGUAGCAGAGUCCUUG